UACGUAGGGGGCUAGCGUUGUCCGGAAUCAUUGGGCGUAAAGCGCGUGUAGGCGGUCCGGUAAGUCCGCUGUGAAAGUCGGGGGCUCAACCCUCGAAUGCCGGUGGAUACUGUCGGGCUAGAGUGCGGAAGAGGCGAGUGGAAUUCCUGGUGUAGCGGUGAAAUGCGCAGAUAUCAGGAGGAACACCGAUUGCGAAGGCAGCUCGCUGGGACGUAACUGACGCUGAGACGCGAAAGCGUGGGGAGCAAACAGG
rnacentral:rRNA from 1 species